GUUCUUAUAACAACUUACAAACCAAAUGUGGAAGAAGAAAAAAAAGAAAAAACCUUGAGAGAAACCAUCAAUUCAUUAAUCAACAUUGGUGAAUUUGAGUUUGUGAUCAUGCUUUCACACAACAGUUGAAGUAGCUCAAUAUGCUCUUCCUUGUCGUUGGGGAGUUGCUGUUGGUGGGAUUCAGUUGAUGAUUUUCAUCAGCAUGAGAAUGAGGUGUGUUU
rnacentral:misc_RNA from 1 species